AGCGAACGCUGGCGGCAGGCUUAACACAUGCAAGUCGAGCGGGCGUAGCAAUACGUCAGCGGCAGACGGGUGAGUAACGCGUGGGAACAUACCUUUUGGUUCGGAACAACACAGGGAAACGUUAGUGCUAAUACCGGAUAAGCCCUUACGGGAAGGAUUAUCGCCGAAGAUUGGCCGCGUCUGAUUAGCUAGUUGGUGAGGUAACGGCUCACCAAGGCGACGAUCAGUAGCUGGUCNGAGAGGAUGAUCAGCCACAUUGGGACUGAGACACGGCCCAAA
rnacentral:rRNA from 1 species